CUCACAACGAACGUUAGACGGCGCGUUUUAAGCAUGCAAGUCGAACGGUAAGCAUCCUUCGGGAUGCCUAGAGUGGCGAACGGGUGAGUAACACGUAGGUGAUCUACCCGAGAGGUUGGGGAUAGCCUGUGGAAACACAGGGUAAUACCGAAUAUGUCCUGAGUGCUGUGGCACACAGGGCAAAGGUGCUUCGGCAUCGCCUCCGGAUGAGCCUGCGCCUGAUUAGCUAGUUGGUGGGGUAAGAGCCCACCAAGGCGACGAUCAGUAGCCGGCCUGAGAGGGUGAGCGGCCACACUGGGACUGAGAUACGGCCCAGACUCCUACGGGAGGCAGCAGCUAAGAAUCUUCCGCAAUGGACGAAAGUCUGACGGAGCGACGCCGCGUGGGUGAUGAAGGCCGUGAGGUUGUAAAGCCCUUUUCUGACUGAGGAAUAAGCACACGAGGCAAUGCGUGUGUGAUGACGGUAGGUCAGGAAUAAGCCCCGGCCAAUUACGUGCCAGCAGCCGCGGUAACACGUAUGGGGCGAGCGUUGUUCGGAAUCAUUGGGCGUAAAGGGCGCGCAGGCGGUUGUGCAAGCCUGGUGUGAAAGACCGCAGCUUAACUGCGGGAACGCGCUGGGAACUGCAUGACUUGAGUUCAGGAGGGGAAGCUGGAAUUCCUGGUGUAGGGGUGAAAUCUGUAGAUAUCAGGAAGAACAUCAGUGGCGAAGGCGAGCUUCUGGCCAUGAACUGACGCUGAGGCGCGAAAGCGUGGGGAGCAAACAGGAUUAGAUACCCUGGUAGUCCACGCUGUAAACGAUGUGCACUAGGUGUUGGGUCGCUGAAGACUCAGUGCCGCAGCUAACGCGUUAAGUGCACCGCCUGGGGAGUAUGCCCGCAAUGGUGAAACUCAAA
rnacentral:rRNA from 1 species